UCUCCGUUGGUGAACCAGCGGAGGGAUCAUUACUGGAAUCGCAAGAUCCCACAACCCCUGUGAACCUACCGAAACGUUGCCUCGGCGGGCGCCCGGCCCCGCGCCGGGCGCUGAGCCCGCCGGCGGCCCCCUACUCUUGUCUCUGCAGCGUGGCAUCCCCGAGGCCCAGAAAACAAAAAAAAACUUUCAACAACGGAUCUCUUGGCUCUAGCAUCAAUGAAGAACGCAGCAGAUCGGAAGCGCACACCUCUGCACUCCAGUCACGCGCAUCAAGCUCGU
rnacentral:misc_RNA from 1 species